GUGUCAGCAGCCGCGGUAAUACGUAGGGGGCAAGCGUUGUCCGGAAUCAUUGGGCGUAAAGAGCGUGUAGGCGGUCCGGUAAGUCGGCUGUGAAAGUCCAGGGCUCAACCCUGGGAUGCCGGUCGAUACUGCCGGACUAGAGUUCGGAAGAGGCGAGUGGAAUUCCCGGUGUAGCGGUGAAAUGCGCAGAUAUCGGGAGGAACACCUAUGGCGAAGGCAGCUCGCUGGGACGUUACUGACGCUGAGACGCGAAAGCGUGGGGAGCAAACAGGAUUAGAAACCCCCGUAGUCC
rnacentral:rRNA from 1 species